rnacentral:rRNA from 1 species
AGGGUUUGAUCAUGGCUCAGAACGAACGCUGGCGGCAGGCUUAACACAUGCAAGUCGAGCGCCCCGCAAGGGGAGCGGCAGACGGGUGAGUAACGCGUGGGAAUCUACCUUUUGCUACGGAAUAACGCAGGGAAACUUGUGCUAAUACCGUAUGUGUCCUUCGGGAGAAAGAUUUAUCGGCAAGAGAUGAGCCCGCGUUGGAUUAGCUAGUUGGUGGGGUAAAGGCCUACCAAGGCGACGAUCCAUAGCUGGUCUGAGAGGAUGAUCAGCCACAUUGGGACUGAGACACGGCCCAAACUCCUACGGGAGGCAGCAGUAGGGAAUAUUGGACAAUGGGCGCAAGCCUGAUCCAGCCAUGCCGCGUGAGUGAUGAAGGCCCUAGGGUUGUAAAGCUCUUUCACCGGAGAAGAUAAUGACGGUAUCCGGAGAAGAAGCCCCGGCUAACUUCGUGCCAGCAGCCGCGGUAAUACGAAGGGGGCUAGCGUUGUUCGGAAUUACUGGGCGUAAAGCGCACGUAGGCGGAUCGAUCAGUCAGGGGUGAAAUCCCAGGGCUCAACCCUGGAACUGCCUUUGAUACUGUCGAUCUGGAGUAUGGAAGAGGUGAGUGGAAUUCCGAGUGUAGAGGUGAAAUUCGUAGAUAUUCGGAGGAACACCAGUGGCGAAGGCGGCUCACUGGUCCAUUACUGACGCUGAGGUGCGAAAGCGUUGGGAGCAAACAGGAUUAGAUACCCUGAUAGUCCACGCCGUAAACGAUGAAUGUUAGCCGUCGGGCAGUAUACUGUUCGGUGGCGCAGCUAACGCAUUAAACAUUCCGCCUGGGGAGUACGGUCGCAAGAUUAAAACUCAAAGGAAUUGACGGGGGC